rnacentral:rRNA from 1 species
AGUUCGGAUUGGAGUCUGCAACCCGACUCCAUGAAGCUGGAUUCGCUAGUAAUCGCGCAUCAGCCACGGCGCGGUGAAUGCGUUCCCGGGCCUUGUACACACCGCCCGUCAUGCCAUGGAAGCCGGGAGUGCCUGAAGUACGCGACCGCAAGGAGCGUCCUAAGGUAAAACCGGUGACUGGGGCUAAGUCGUAACAAGGUAUC